rnacentral:rRNA from 1 species
UACGGAGGGUGCAAGCGUUAUCCGGAUUCACUGGGUUUAAAGGGUGCGUAGGUGGGCAGGUAAGUCAGUGGUGAAAUCUCGGAGCUUAACUCCGAAACUGCAUUCGAUACUGCCGUGCUUGAGGACUGGAGAGGAGACUGGAAUUUACGGUGUAGCGGUGAAAUGCGUAGAUAUCGUAAGGAAGACCAGUGGCGAAGGCGGGUCUCUGGACAGUUCCUGACGCUGAGGCACGAAGGUCAGGGGAGCAAACGGG